rnacentral:rRNA from 1 species
CCUUCGGGUGAGUGGCGGACGAGCGAGUAACAUGUUGGAACCUGCCCCAAACUCAGGGAUAACAUCUAGAAAUAGAUGCUAAUACCGGAUAGUCCCGCAAGGGUAAAGAUUUAUCGGUUUGGGAGGGGCCUGCAUACUAUCAGCUUGUUGGUAAGGUAAUGGCUUACCAAGGCUAUGACGGUUAACUGGUCUGAGAGGAUGAUCAGUCGCGAUGGGACUGAGACACGGCCCAU